UAUAAGUAAAAUUGACUCAAAAGUGGUACAGACAAAGGGAAUCCCACUGUUUAAUUAAAACAAAGCAUUGUGAUGGUCCCUACAAAUGAUGACGCGAUGUGAUUUAUGCCUAGUUCUCUGCAUGUCAAAGUGAAUAAAUUCAACCAAGCACGGGUAAACGACAUGAGUAACUAUGAAUCUCUUAAGGUAGAAAAAUUCCUCGUCAUCUAAUUAGUGGCAUGCAUGAAUGGAUUAACAAGAUUCCCACUGUCCCUAUAUACUAUCUAGAGAAACCACAGCCAAGGGAAUGAUCUUGGAAGAAUUAGCGAGGAAAUAAGACCCUAUUGAGAUUGACUCUAGUCCAACAUUCUAAAAUGACUUGAGAGGUGUAGAAUAAGUGCGAUCUUUUUUAGACACAAGUGAAACAAUGCUAAUUUUAAUGUUGUUUUACUUAUUCUGUGGGGUGCAGAUGGGGCAUUGACCUUGGAUUUGGCCAUAAGACAUGUUUCGGUGGCUCGAUCUAGGUGUAAGACAUUUUCAGGUGGGGAUUUUGGCCGGGGCCUCAUAUCUAUUAAAGGAUAAUGCAGGUUUCCUAACAUGAGCUCAACGAGAAAACAAAUCUUGUGUGGAACAAAAGGGUAAAAUCUCAUUUGAUUUUCCACCAACCUCUUGAUCCUUAUAAUUCAUAGAUGUAUAUGAAUUAAUACAUAAAUUACAUGUUUGCAUGAAUCAACAUAGUUAAUUUAGAAUACUAAUUUCUUGAGU
rnacentral:ncRNA from 1 species